UCCUAUCUGGUUGAUCCUGCCAGUAAUCAUAUGCUUGUCUCAAAGAUUAAGCCAUGCAUGUUUUAGUUCGUACCCUUUACGCACGGUCAAACCGCGAAUGGCUCAUUAGAUCAGUCCUGGUCCAUUAGGCGACACGGCCCCUUUUACAGGGCGUUACGGAUAACUGUGGCAAAUCCAGAGCUAAUACGUGCGAGCGAGCCCCGACCUCAAGCGCUGGUCGCCAGGAAGGGGCGCUUUUAUUAGUACUACAACCGGCGUUCCCCCUCCUCGCGGGGGGGGAUCCCCCACUCUAGGCGAACUCUGGAUAACGCGCCCGACCGCUUCGUCUAAUUUCAGACGGCGGCACGCCUUUCGAACGUCUGUCCUAUCAAAUGUCGACGGUAGGUUAUACGCCAACCGUGUUGAUUACGGGUGACGGGGAAUCGGGGUUCGGUUCCGGAGAGGGAGCACGAGAAACGGCUACCACAUCCAAGGAAGGCAGCAGGCGCGCAACUUACCCACUCCCGGCUCGGGGAGGUAGUGACGAGAAAUAACGAUGCGGGUCUCGAGUCGGGCUCCGCGGUCGGAAUGAGCGCAGUCUAAAACCUGACGGCGACGAUCUAUCGGAGGGCAAGCCUGGUGCCAGCAGCCGCGGUAAUUCCAGCUCCGAUAGCGUAUAUUAAAGCUGCUGCAGUUAAAAAGCUCGUAGUUGGAUCUCGAGGUCGGCGUCGUCGCCGGGGUUUACCUUUUAAAACUCUGGCGGCGUCGCGCCGGGGGUUCGGUCGUCACCGGGGGUUGCGGAGCGUCCGCGCGUCUCCGUCUCUCUCGGGGGCUUCCGUCCUUCGCGCGCGGCGUCGUCGGAGCCGGGUAUUGUCCUCGACGGCGGCGUCUCCUUUCAUAAGCGCCGGCUCUCUCCCGUCUGCCGCACUUUACUGGGCGGCGCGGGCGGCCGGCCUUUUCACUUUGAAAAAAUUAGAGUGUUCAAAGCGGGCAGGAUGGCCCGGAUAACGUCGCACGUAAAUGAUGGAAUAGGACCGCCGUCCCUUCCAGGCCGGUCUCAGGGGGCGGAGGUAAUGAUUGACAGGGACGGCCGGGGGCAUUCGUACCGCGGCGGGAGAGGUGAAAUUCGAUGAUCGCCGCGAGACGUCCGAGAGCGAAAGCAUUUGUCAAGAGCGCUUUCUUUAAUCAAGAACGAAAGUCGGGGGUUCGAAGACGAUCAGAUACCGUCGUAGUCCCGACCGUAAACGAUGCCGACCGGCGACCCGCGGAAGCCUCGACGGCUGCGCGGGACGCCCCCGGGAAACCAGAGUUUUUGGGUUCCGGGGGGAGUAUGGUCGCAAGGCUGAAACUUAAAGGAAUUGACGGAAGGGCACCACCAGGAGUGGGGUCUGCGGCUUAAUUUGACUCAACACGGGAAAACUCACCCGGUCCGGACACCGCUAGGAUUGACAGACCGAGGCUCUUUCUUGAUUCGGUGGGUGGUGGUGCAUGGCCGUUCUUAGUUGGUGGAGCGAUCUGUCUGGUUAAUUCCGAUAACGAACGAGACUCCGGCCUGCUAGUUAGCGGGUCGGCGAAGGCGCGGAGAGUCGGUAGCGGGCGGGCGGAGGCGGGCGCGCGUGUGGCUUCGUGCCGCGCGCCGUCCUCUCCCCCGUCCGUCCUCCCUCUCGCGCCCGCCGGCCCGACCCAUUCGGCUUCUUAGAGGGACGGGCGGUGGCCAGCCGCACGAAAAAGGAGCGAUAACAGGUCUGUGAUGCCCUUAGACGUCCGGGGCCGCACGCGUGCUACAAUGGGGGAGUCAACGCGGUAGCCCUCCCGGCCCGAAGGGUGUCGGGAAAGCGCCGAGUCUCCCCCGUGACCGGGACCGGGGCUUGACCAUUGUGCCCCGCGAACGAGGAAUUCCCCGUAGGCGCUGGUCAUAACCCAGCGCCGACUACGUCCCUGCCCUUUGUACACACCGCCCGUCGCUACCAUCGGUGAACGGUCUAGCGAGGGCCUCGGACCGGCUUGGACUUAACCCUCCUCGCCGGGAAGACGCCCGAACUCGGUCGCUCGGAGAUAGUAAAAGUCGUAACAAGGUUUCCGUAGGUGAACCUGCGGAAGGAUCAUUA
rnacentral:rRNA from 1 species